rnacentral:rRNA from 1 species
AUUGAACGCUGGCGGCAGGCCUAACACAUGCAAGUCGAACGGUAACAGGAAGAUGCUUGCUUCUUUGCUGACGAGUGGCGGACGGGUGAGUUAUGUCUGGGAAACUUCCUGAUGGAGGGGGAUAACUACUGGAAACGGUAGCUAAUACCGCAUAACGUCGCAAGACCAAAGAGGGGGACCUGCUGGCCUAUUGCCAUCGGAUGUGCCCAGAUGGGAUUAGCUAGUAGGUGGGGUAACGGCUCACCUAGGCGACGAUCCCUAGCUGGUCUGAGAGGGUGACCAGCCACACUGGAACUGAGACACGGUCCAGACUCCUACGGGAGGCAGCAGUGGGGAAUAUUGCACAAUGGGCGCAAGCCUGAUGCAGCCAUGCCGCGUGUAUGAAGAAGGCCUUCGGGUUGUAAAGUACUUUCAGCGGGGAGGAAGGGAGUAAAGUUAAUACCUUUGCUCAUUGACGUUACCCGCAGAAGAAGCACCGGCUAACUCCGUG